CUCGCCCAGGCGAAAAAACUGCGAUUUUGCGUCAACUUGCGAAGGUUGUAUCUCUCAAAUCAGAAUUACUAUUGAGGCGUGUGACCUAUUAUUGGAAAGAGCUUGAAAUCUUGUUUCCAACCUGUAAUAUCCUAAAAAUGUAAACGUGUUUAAGUGAAUAAUUAAUUGUAAUAAGUAGUUAAAAUAUAUUUUAUCGUUUCAAUAAUUCAGCAAAAUACAGUAAAACGAAUAUAGAAUUUAUUAACUUAAAUUUUGUUAAUACCUAAGUGUCAAUAAUUUAUAUUUCACGAUUUCAUGAAUUAAUCAAGGUUAGUUUUUGUUGUUAAAUCACUAAAGCACAAAAUACCAACAUUUCACCAAACUUUUGCAAAGCCACAUGAAGAUUGAUGAAGAGUGGAGCAAAUUUCAGAUUUUUGGUUAAAAAAUAAAAAGGUAAAAAAAAAAAAAAAGAGAAAAAGCUUCCAUGGUCAACUACUCAAUAACUUUGCCUUCUUCCUUACUCUUCCAUGGGCACUUGGAAAGCAUGCCACCACCCUCCAUUCUUUUCCUCUGUGAAAAACCUGUCACCAAUGCAUCUUCUUAGCUUCCCCAAGUCAGAAAUUCAGAAAUAUUUACUCCUUCCUUCCCAGCUACUGAAUUAGUGUUCCUAAUUCCCUAUAAAUGGCCAUGAAAUCCAUUACCAAGAACAAAACAAUUCUAGAAACUUCCUCCUCUCAUCUCUUACUUCACCAACACCUACGAACCACCUUGCAAACACCACAAAUUUCAGUCAAUAAUUCGCCGGAAAACGUGACCCAAAGAAACCAAAAAAGAAAACCCCAAAUUUUCUCUAUUUCCUCUGUUUCGGGGCUUCCACAGCACCAACACCGGUUACCGCCGGUCGUGCGACAAUUGCGCCGCGCUCAGCCGACCUCCCCCAGCCUCAUUGUCGCUCGCCGGCCACUGGACGCUCGCCGGAGCUCCGCCACACCUGCAUGCACUCAUGUUCUCUCUUUCUUGCACUCUCUUUCUCGCUCCUCUUUGCCGCACGUAGUUGUACAUGUACAACACCGCCAAACCGCGCCACACCGCCGGAGAUCGAUGUCGCUGCUCGCCGCCGACCACCAGAGAUGGAAUCGAAGCCACGUUACUUCGCUUCGUCACCCCUACUCUUAGUAGCAGAGUUUUUUAAUAUCACCACCACCUCUUCGGUUCGUUCGUCGCUCGCCAGAUCCUAUCGUUCUUCGUCGCUCGUCAGAUCCGGCCGUUCUUCAUCGUUCGCCAGAUCCGACCAUUUUUCAUCGCUCGCGAGAGUCGGCAGUUUGAUGGCGUUCAUUCGCAAGUGAUGUUCCCAGGCAUUGUCAAGGCACAAUGUACAUGCUACUGUUAUUAUGUGUAAUUUUUUAGUUUAUUCAAGUUUGGUAAUCGUUUGUUGUU